UACGUAGGGGGCUAGCGUUGUCCGGAAUCAUUGGGCGUAAAGCGCGUGUAGGCGGUCCGGUAAGUCCGCUGUGAAAGUCGAGGGCUCAACCCUCGAAUGCCGGUGGAUACUGUCGGGCUUGAGUACGGGAGAGGCGAGUGGAAUUCCUGGUGUAGCGGUGAAAUGCGCAGAUAUCAGGAGGAACACCGAUUGCGAAGGCAGUUCUCUGGGCCGUAACUGACGCUGAGGAGCGAAAGCGUGGGGAGCGAACAGG
rnacentral:rRNA from 1 species